rnacentral:tRNA from 1 species
ACCUGGCUGGCUCAGUGGAGCAUGUGAUUAUUGAUCUCAGGAUUGUGAGUUCAAGCCCCAUGUUGGGUA